CUCUCUCUCAUCUGCCACCAUGUAAGAAGUGCCUGCUUCCCCUUAUGCCUUGAUUGUAAGUUUCCUGAGGCCUCCCCAGCCAUGCAGAACUAAUCGAUGUGCAAAUAAUUUCCUUGGGAGGAACUCUUUAUAAAUGACACAAACAAAUGGAAAAACGUUCCAUGCACAUGGAUAGGAAGAAUCAAUAUCGUUAAAUGGCCAUACAGUUCAAAGAAAUUUACAGAUGCAAUGCUAUUUCUAAAAACUACCAAUGACAUUCUUUACAGAAUUAGAAAAACUAUUUUAAAAUUCAUAUGGGCUAGGAGCAGUGGCUCAUGCCUGUAAUCCCAACAUUUUGGAAGGCUGAGGUGGGAGGAUCACUCGAGCUCAGGAGUUCGAGACCAGCCUGGGUAACAUAGUGAGAGCCUGUCUCUAUGAAAAAACAAAAAAUUUGUUCAGGCAUGAUGGUGUGCACCUCUAGUCCCUGCUACUCAGGAAGAUGAGGCAGAAGGAUCACUUUGAGCCUGGGAGGUUGAGGCUGCAGUGGGCCAUGACUGUGCCACUGCUCUCCAGCCCAACCACCACCACCAAAAAAAAAAAAAAAAAAAAAAAAAAAAUUCACAUGGAACAAAAAAAGAGCCAGAAUAGCCAAGAAAAAAUCUGGAGGCAUCAUGUUACCUGACUUUAAACUCUACUACAAGUCUACAGUAACCAAACAGCAUGCUACUAGUACAAAAACAUACACAUAGAUCAAUGGAACAGAAUAGACAGCUCAGAAAUAAUGCUGCACACUUACGACCAUCUGAUAACCAUCUGAUCUUCAACAAAGUCAACAAAAAACAAGCAAUGAGGAAAGGACUUCCUGUUCAAUAAAUGGUGCUGGGAAAACUGCCUAGCCAUAUGAAGAAGAUUGAAUCUGGAACCCUGCCUUACAUCAUAUACAAAAACUAGUUCAAGAUUGAUUAAAGAUGUAAUUAUAAAACCUAAAACUAUAAAAACCAUGAAAGAUAACCUAGGAAAUGCCGUAUUGUAGCAUUCUGGACAUAGGCCCUGACAAAUAUUUCUGGACAAAGAUGCAAAAAGGAUUAAUGGGACCUAAUUAAAUGGAAGAGCUUCUGUACAGCAAAAGAAACUAUCAACAGAGUAAACAGACGGCCACCAGCAUAGGAGGAAAUAUUUGCAAACUGUGCAUCCCAUAAAGGUCUAAUAUCCAGAAUCUAUAAGGAACUUAAAUGAACAAAUAUAAAACAAACAGCCCCAUUAAAAAAGUAGGCAAGGAACAUGAGCAGACACAUUUCGAAAGAAGAGAUACACGUGAUAAACAAGCAUAUGAAAAAUGCUCAACAUUACUAAUCAUUAGAGAAAUGCAAAUCAAAACCACAAUGAAAUACCAUGUCACACAAGUUAGAAUGGCUAUUACUAAAAAGUAAAAACAUAACAGAUGCUGGCAAGGUUGCAGAGAAAAGGGGUGGCUUAUACACUGCUGAUGGGAAUGUAAAUUAGUUCAACCUUUGUGGAAAGCAGUGGGGCAACUUCUUAAAGAACUUAAAACAGAAUUACCAUUUGACUCAGCAAUCCCAUUACUGGGAAUAUUAAUCAUUUUACCAUAAAGACACAUUCAUGUGUAUAUUCACCACAUCGUUAUUCACAAUAGCAAAGACAUGGAAUCAACCUAAAUGCCCAUCAGCGGUAGACUGGAUACAAAAUGUGGUACAUAUACAUCAUGAAAUACUGUGCAGCCAUAAAAAAACAAUGAGAUCAUGUCCUUUGCAGCAACAUGGAUGGAGCUGGAGGUCAUCAUCCUAAGCAAACUAACACAGAAACAGAAAAUCAAAUACUGCAUGUUCUCACUUAUACUUGAGAACUAAACAUUGAGAACGCAUGGACAUAAAGAAGGAACCAGCAAACACUGGAGUAUACGUGAGGCUGGAGUGUGGGACGAGGGAGAGAAUAAAAAACUACCUAAGCAGUAAUAUGCUUAUUACCUGGGUGACAAAAUAAUCUGUACACCAAACCCCAGUGACAUGCAAUUUAUCUAUAUAACAAACUUGCAUAUGUACUGCUGAACCUGAAAUAAAAGUUUAAAAGUGAUAAUAACAAAAUAAAUGCUACCUACUGCCAAAAAACUCUUCUUAUCCACUUAAAAACUAUGCAAUUAAUUUAAUUUAUUUUUUUGUAACAACAAUUUUCUGCUACAUCGUCCCUUGUGUCAGAAAAUUCUUGUACUUUGGGACAUCCUGAGAGUAGAUUUAUUGAGUGAAUAAAUCCCUCUUUGAAAGAAAGUCCAGAUAUUUCUUAGGUUUUACUUAAAUGAGUAAAGGGGAUAUUUAUUUUUUAACCAUUCUUCAACCAUUAUCCAGAUAAAAUUCUUGUUAAAUUAAUUGUUGAAAUUAUUCUUAACUUUUCCAG
rnacentral:lncRNA from 10 species